rnacentral:rRNA from 1 species
UAAAGAAUUUCGGUCAUCGAUGGGGAUGCGUUCCAUUAGCUUGUUGGCGGGGUAACGGCCCACCAAGGCAUCGAUGGAUAGGGGUUCUGAGAGGAAGGUCCCCCACAUUGGAACUGAGACACGGUCCAAACUCCUACGGGAGGCAGCAGUGAGGAAUAUUGGUCAAUGGGCGCUAGCCUGAACCAGCCAAGUAGCGUGAAGGAUGACUGCCCUAUGGGUUGUAAACUUCUUUUAUAUGGGAAUAAAGUGCAGUAUGUAUACUGCUUUGCAUGUACCUUAUGAAUAAGGAUCGGCUAACUCCGUGCCAGCAGCCGCGGUAAUACGGAGGAUCCGAGCGUUAUCCGGAUUUAUUGGGUUUAAAGGGAGCGUAGGCGGGUUGUUAAGUCAGUUGUGAAAGUUUGCGGCUCAACCGUAAAAUUGCAGUUGAUACUGGCAUCCUUGAGUACAGUAGAGGUAGGCGGAAUUCGUGGUGUAGCGGUGAAAUGCUUAGAUAUCACGAAGAACUCCGAUUGCGAAGGCAGCCUGCUGGACUGUAACUGACGCUGAUGCUCGAAAGUGUGGGUAUCAAACAGGAUUAGAUACCCUGGUAGUCCACACAGUAAACGAUGAAUACUCGCUGUUUG